rnacentral:rRNA from 1 species
CCCUUAGAUGUUCUGGGCCGCACGCGUGCUACACUGAGUGGAUCAGCGGGUCAGGUUGCGCGAAAGUGUUUCCUAAUCUUGAAAUCCGCUCGUGAUGGGGAUUGACGGUUGCAAUUUUCCGUCAUGAACGAGGAAUACCUUGUAAGCGCGGGUCAUCAUCCCGCGCUGAAUACGUCCCUGCCCUUUGUACACACCGCCCGUCGCUCCUACCGAUUGAGUGGUCCGGUGAGGCUUUGGGAUCUGAGCGGAAAGAGCGUUUCGCUGUCUCUGCUCGGAAAACUCAGUCGAACCUUAUCAUUUAGAGGAAGGAGAAGUCGUAACA